rnacentral:lncRNA from 1 species
GUCGAUGAGACCGCACCGCGAAUCUCCCGAGAACAGUCGCUUCCACGGCCUCGGAGCGGGCGAGUUGUUGAUCCCCUUGGAAAAAAGGAAAACACGCUCUCUUGUUGCGGCGACGAGUGUAAUGGCCACCGUGGGCCUAGGAUAGUAAAGGAGGUGGUUGGGAUUCUUUGAUCAAAACGCUGGCAAUCAACAAACGACUUAUUAGCUAGUUAAGAUCAGUGAAUUUAAUUCGUGUGUGUCGAACUGCCGCUUUUUCAUUUUGAUCAGUGGCUUUUGUCCGGUGAAGAGUGCGUGUACAUCAAGUAGUGCAUCAGUGUACUUAAUGUGUGCCAGCCAUUGUCGAGCGUGCAUCGUAGUGCCGGUCAUCUAAUCAUCGACCACACUGGAUAAUAUUGCUUAUUCGUUUCGUCUAUUGGAUUCUACCUUUUUAAUACACAACGCGUCAACGGUCCGAGGCAAGGAAUAAUUCGGAACAACGACUUUCCUCACUUCCAUGAAAACGGCCUCCUAUUAUUAGGUUACCGUUGAAUACCAGACGACCGCGAUAAGCAAUCCUUAGAAUCAAGAAACAAAAAUCCGAAGAAUCCUUAGAAUCCUUAGAAAACAAGAAGAUGAAAGGGCGAAAGGAAAGAAGCCACGGUCCGUGAGAGCUCGAAGAAAACGAUGAGAAGCGAUUCCGAGAAAAAGACAGACGUGUCUGUGACUGAAAGCAUAUCGUUUCACCGCAAUCAUGCGAUAUGUGUAUAUAUAUAUGUACGAUGUGUACACUGUCGUUACAUAACCUAACCUUAAAUAUUUUU